rnacentral:lncRNA from 1 species
AUCAACCUAAAUUUAAUACUAAUAUAUUGUAUUUUUGACCACUUUCAAUCCAAGAAUGAAUUUCAAAUAGAACUAAGAACACAUAAAAUUGAUCAAAUAUACGACUAAAUAAAUCUAUUACAAUCUUUACAACACAGAUGUUCUACAAUAUGCUACUCUAAACUGAGUAAGACUUCACAGCUUCACACUUGGGUUCACACUUCAC